rnacentral:misc_RNA from 1 species
CUUUGAGCAACCAUGUUAUGCAAUACAAAAAGCAAUAGCUUUCUGAAACUUGUCUGCUAGAAAUUACAACUUUUGAUUGUUUUGUUUUUUUGGAUUUGUGUUAAUGACGGCCCAAUUAUAGUUUAUGAGCUGAAAGCUAUUGCUGACGUGGCUACCUUCUACAUCGAAAAUGAGCUGGCUCAAUACCAGUAGCAUUGCAAAUUUGGCUAAAAAUGCACUAAAAGAAGCCCAAAAAACCAUAGACAAAGCACUUGACAUUAGAGAUCCAGAUGCUGUUGGAAAUAAACCAAUUGAAAAUGAAAUUAUUGGACACUUCUUUGAAUCCUUCAACUUGGUGAAAGAGGAAAAUGAUCCACCUGAUGAAACCAGAACAAGCUCAGAGGAUGUCGUAGUGAGUGAACCAGACUCAAAGUCUGAAAGAGAUCAGCAAAAAACAGCAGUUUUUCAGGCCCCAGUUUCAAAUGUACUUCAAACAACAGCUAAAGAUUUAAGCACCCAUACUGAAACAUCCAUUCCUGCAGGAGACCUUGAAAAAAAAAGCAAUCCCAAUGAGCUGGAUCAUGUGGUUCUGACUGAUUCUAUAGAAGAAACGAAUGUAAAUGAAAGUUAUCAUAGCUCUAUGUCAGUUUCCAGCUCCAUUACCGUCAUCAGUCCUGAAAAUGAUUUGGCUGAUAUGGAUUGGAAAAGUGAUACCAAAAGUGAUGUCAGAGAAGAAACAACCAACCACCAUCGCACACAAAACAGAGAUGAAGUUUCAACAAUGCUGUCGGAAGCAAUGAAGGAUUCGAUCAAGACUGAGACCUCGGCGUCUGCCUCAGGUGACGAGAUCGAGACCACCACUUCGUCGGAUAUCGAAAUAAUCGCAAGUCCUCAAGCGGGUAUAAGACAACUCGUAGCUCCCGUCCGUUCAAGAAGCGAGUCAAAGACUCAUAGUCGGAAGCCAUCCGAAGCUUCUAGUGACGAUAGCGCAACUUCCACUGGACAAGAUUCGGACCCGCUCAAAACAGAAUGCCAAAUCAUUCAACUGAAUCAAAUACUUGAAGCCCGAGAUAACCAAUUAUUGGAAUAUACCAGGAAAUGUUACGCAUUAUCGGAAGAAGUAGAACGUGCUAAAUCACAGUUGGCCCAUGACGAGAAGGAGCGAACGGCUUUGGGUGAAACCAUUCGUCGGCAAUCGGACGAGUUUGCCAUAAGAUUAUCUUCGAUUGAAAAACGAUAUCAGCAGGUAUUGGCUGAGCGUGAAUCACUAGUCAAGAAACUUGAACAGAUUCAACAGAACCAAGAAUCUUACGGCAGUUUAACAGAGGAACUUCGAGAAAAAAACGAAACUAUUGAACAACUAAGAUUUGAAGGCGAAAAGCUAUCCAAGCAACAUCUUCAAUUAUCAAACAUAAUAAAGAAAUUGCGAGUGCAAGAAAAAGAGGAGGAAGUCCGUUGCAAACAAUUCAAAGAUCAAAAUGAAGAACUCAAAAGUGAAGUAGAUCGUUUGAACAAGUGUUUGUCCGCGAAAGAAGAACUCGAGAGGAACCAAAUCGAAGCUGUUCGACAAUCUGCGAUGGUUAAUAGCCAAUUAGAAAAAGAGCUUUUGGCCAAUAAAGUCAUGAUGCGUGAAAAGCUUGCGGAAGUGGAAACUCUUCGAGCUGCUUUCUUUGAGGUAGAACAAAAACUUCUCGAAGAAAGAGCCACUGCUGCCAUUCGCGAUUCUGCGGAAACUGAGCGCAAUCUCAGCGCUGAAGUAGCUUUGCGUCAACGCCUUCAGUUAGAGUAUGAAACAUCCAGCCGUUUGUUUGAGGAAGAAAGACAAGCGCUCACAAUGCGUUGCCAAGAACUGACCCAGUCACUUGCCGAAGUCGACAGUGAUCGCUCAAGAGAACGAGAACGGAUACAAAGCGAAGUUUCGCGAUUAAUGCAUAGGCUGCAUGAAGCCGAAUCUCGUAGCGAUGAACUAUCUCAGGCAUUAACCACUGCGACUAAGCCUUUGAUACGUCAGAUUGAUACGCUGCAGCAUGCACUAACCUCACAAAGGUUGUCCGAAGAAAGAUCCGAAAAGAUGUACAACGAGAAGCUAGCUGUUCUUGAAAGCAAAUUGCUGUCAGCCAAUCAAAAAGAGACUGUCGAUAAAAAUCUGUAUCUUGCGAUGCAAGCUCAAGUUGACGAAGCGCUAGAAAAAUGUAAAACAGCAGAGCAAGAAAACCACAAUCUGCGUAUCCAGUUGGAACAGGAAAAAUGCCACAGUCAAAAUUUGGAGCAAGCAAGAAAAAAAGAUAACUUCAGUUUAGAACUGGUAAAGAGCCAACUUAUCGAAGAAGUUACUUCAUUACGAAGUAAAAUUGAAAUACUGGAGAGUAAUUAUGAAAAGCAAUGCAUUGCGCUAGAAGAGGAAAGAAAGAAAACAUCGAAUUUUACGAAUCGAUUGCAAGAUAAAGAACUGGAAUUUCAGGUAUUCCCGACCGUUCCUGACAUGUCCAUCUCUGGAAGCAUUGGGAGAAAAGUAGCUUCAACAACUGACAUAGUGUCUAGAACCAGCAGCCCCACUCCUAGUUUAGGAAAGCUAUCAUUAUCUGGCUCAUUUACUGAGUCUCAUUCCAGCAAUCCGUGGAACACAAUGUAUUUUUUAAGGAUGAGGUAUUCGAUGGCGGUCUCGUAACCCCCGUACCGAAAUCAACGCUGUACGACGCUAUGCGAGCAGGCUCUUACACAGCUGUUUUUGAAAGUUUGCAGGCCCAGUUAAAAACACGUGAUGGAGAAGUAACCCAAUUGCAGCAAGAAUUACAAAACCAGGAGAGAUCCCGUGAUUCGCUUGCUAAAGAAUUAAC